AUUCUGGUUGAUCCUACCAGUGAUAUACGCUCGUCUCAAAGGUUAAGCCAUGCAUGUCUAAGUACAAGCUUCCUAGAAAGUGAAACCGCAUAAGGCUCAGUAUAACAGCUAUAAUUUACAAGAUCCUCAUCCAAACAGUUACUUGGAUAACUGUGGAAAAGCCAGAGCUAAUACAUGCAUUAUGCCGGGACUGUUGGCCUCCGGGUCGGCGGAACUGGUGCACUUAUUAGUUAAACCAAUCGCCUCCGGGCGCUUUGAGUUGAAAUCUGGAUAAGGAUGCCGAUCGUACGGUCGCUUGCGACUGACGACAGAUCUUUCAAAUGUCUGCCCUAUCAACUAUUGAUGGUAGUGUAGAGGACUACCAUGGUUGCGACGGGUAACGGAGAAUCAGGGUUCGAUUCCGGAGAGGGAGCCUGAGAAAUGGCUACCACAUCCAAGGAAGGCAGCAGGCGCGUAAAUUACCCAAUCCCGGCACGGGGAGGUAGUGACGAGAAAUAACAAUAUGGACCUCUCUAACGAUGGUCCAUAAUUGGAAUGAGUUGAGCAUAAAUCCUUUUGCAAGGAUCAAGUGGAGGGCAAGUCUGGUGCCAGCAGCCGCGGUAAUUCCAGCUCCACUAGCGUAUAUUAAAGUUGUUGCGGUUAAAACGUUCGAAGUUGAUACCCCGUCCAGACUCGCGUCCGUCGCGGGCGCCCGGCCUCUCGGUUGGGACCGUCCGUGUACGCGCUCGCGGCUGCGACUCACAAUGGUGUACCUGGGCGUUCUACUCCGUGACGGGUCAGGACUUGUCGCCGCGACCUCGUCGGUCAAGGUCUUGUUCGACCCAGCUUCAUGGUGCCCGGGAACUCUCGUUUACCUUGAACAAAUUAGAGUGCUCAAAGCAGGCUAGUUCAAAGCGUCCGGUCCUCCGGGGCCGGCGUUGGCCGAGAAUAAUUUUGCAUGGAAUAAUGGAACAUGACCUCGGUCUGAGUGGUUUCGUUGGUUUGUAAUAGACCAAGAGGUAAUGAUUAACAGAAGUAGUCGGGGGCAUUGGUAUUACGGCGCGAGAGGUGAAAUUCGUAGACCGUCGUAGGACCCACAGAAGCGAAAG
rnacentral:ncRNA from 1 species